rnacentral:lncRNA from 1 species
UUGCCUCCAUUUAAUUAAAAUGUUAGUUAUCACGCAAAGCGUCAUUCUUGGAUAUGUUCAAUUUGACGCUAGCAUGAUUUUAGACACUUAAGUUGUGUUCUAGUAUUAACCAAAGAACUUUGUCGAGGUCGUUUUCUGGCUUUGAAUCUAAUAUCUAUAUGUAAUAUAAGGUUUUUAGCUAUAUUUAUGAUCAUUUAAUUU